UUACGGCCAUAUAGCAUUGAAAGACCGGUUCCCGUAUGAUCACCGAAGCAACGCUGAGCCUGGUCAGUACCUAGAUGGGUGACCGUUUGGGAAUACCAG